GGUCAGAUCCAGCUGGAUUCCACCCCCAGGUGCGAUGCCGUUUUCCAGAGCACGCUCCCAGCACGCCCACGCGCCGCACCGCUCCCUGCUCGCGGCGGGCCGUUCUGGUGGGAGCGCGGCCGUUAGCGAUAUUAAUGCGGGCCGUGCGCAGGUGCUCGCGACAGGUGCAGGCGGGCAGUGCCCAAUAGCGGGCGGCCCGCGACGCACUGUAACCGGCUCAGCCUCCUUCUAUCACUAUACUGACGGGGGGGCUUCCUUUGCUGCAGGCGUCGCCGGGCUCCGGCUCUAAAAAGCGACUGUCUCCUCCUCGCAAACGCUGCGCAGUUUUGGUUUCCUUGGGAAGUGACGUAAGAAGACGGCGGGACUGCUAACCGCAGAGUGAGGACUAGAUCCACCAGGUACAACUUUUGAAUAGACAGUAUGACUUACGUGCAGUACUGCUGUGGGAUGCCACAGUGAGAUCCAUAACGGGACAGAAAUCUGUUCUCAAGAUCAAUUAUGGUUUCACCUACUUUUUCAUCACGAGUCAAUGUGUCGUAGUCAUAGACCGAAAUUUUCAGAUCUUUUUCUUGAGUACAGCAGAGUUGCAUCACAGACAUUCCAAAGCCCGCAUGUCUCACCAGCCCAUUGUUAUCCUGGGGUUGAAGCUGCAAAGCUCUAACGAUAUAAAUUCGCACAAUACACUCCUGAGGCCCACUGUCUGGUAGCUCACGGAACUGGCGGGGAGGCGCUGGAGUAGUGGGAUCAUCAGGUGUCCCUUGAAAUAAUGCACUUCUUUGCUUUGUGAAGUAAUGGUUAUGGAAAAAGAGUAAAUCCAAAUCUUUGGGCCUUCUUUUAAGAUUAUCAAAACAAAUAAUGAGUCCUCUGGAUUUGGAUACUAUUGCUGAAGUGGUUCCAAGCCAGGAAUAAAAAACUGCAAGCUGAAAUAUUUUUACCUGUAAGCUAAGACUGUACUGUAGGAGUCCUGAAAGAAUCAGAGCAGUAGUUGUAGGGAGAGUCACAAGGCACAAGAGAAUAGGAAAGAGAAUAGGUGUUAGCAUAGAAAAA
rnacentral:lncRNA from 1 species